UGAUGCCUUCGGGAAGAACAGCCUUUUACCUCCCUAGGUUUUCUCCCCGCCUAGAGUUCUGUUUCUUACUACAUUACAUUUCCGCUCGCUUAGUGUUUUUCAACCCUCGAGCUCUCCUCAAACCGUUCCAUUGUUUAAGAUACUAACAAGGGGCUGCCCUGACCCAGGAGACAGUGUAAGUGUAGGGAUCAGGGAACAGAAGCAGGAACGCAAGACGCCGGAUACAAACGUGAACAUGCUGCAGGAUUCCACGUGCAUCAAAUUCUAGAAAAGCCAAAACCCACCCACAUAGGUUGCUUAGGAUGGGGUGGGGGGACUAAGAAGGGGCAUGAGAACCUUCUUUGGGUGAUGAAAAUGUCCUAUGUUGUUCUGCCUGAGGUCAUGCUGCAUUUGUCAAAAUUCAAAAACACUGAAAAUGAGUACAUUUUAUUGUAUAUAAAUGACACCUCAAUAAAAACGAAAGAUGUGAGCAA
rnacentral:lncRNA from 10 species